GUGGGAAUCAAUCAGAGCGAGAUUACGGAACGGAAAUACUGGUCACACCAGGGUGUAAACCCAGUCGGCAUGUGAACGUGAUCAGCUGGUAGUACUUGACUAAUCAACAGUGUUAAGAAUAGAAUAGUUGCAUAUUGAUUAAGCUAAUUAGGAUUGAGUUAAUUGUUAGAUAGGUUGCUUGGUUCUCAAGUAACCAUGUACUUCCUUGGCUCUCAAGGCAACUAUGUAAUUCCUUGGCUCUCAAGUAACUAUGUGUUUACUUGACCGCCAAACAUCAUGUGUACUUCCGCCUGGGUAUAAAUAGCCCACUUCUAUCAUCAAUAAAGACUGAUGGAUUAUCAUUUGCUCCUCUCUCUCGUUUUACUUUCACACGUUAUCAACACUUUGCCCUAACCGAGAGCGAUUAGGCCAACGACAGGAAAAGACGGGCAGCGCAGCGGCGCUCGCGCAUCUAGUGCAUCGCGCAACUCUCGGCCGUGGGCUGCACCGGCGCUAUCCGGCGUUUUUGCGGUGAAGCAGCAAACCCCAACGCGGAUGGCGACAUCAGUCGCAGUGGCGCUCGCGUCUGCCGUUUGCGCCUGUACGCGCAGCGUCGACUCGCAUCCUCGCGACCUCGAACUCAAGGCAUGGCCCUCGAUGGCGCUCGGCGAGACAUCGGCAGAGAAAAAGACGAACAAAUAGAAAGAAGGAACAUGAGAAUUGGCACCCACGAUCGAUGGAUUGAACAUCCAAACCAAGAAACGGAAGCACCCACAUGCCAUGGCCUUCGGCCUCGACAUGGAUGCGCUUCCACGCGUGAUGGGCGGCUCCCGCGGAGCGACCAGCCAUGACGCGGUUCCUCUCCUGUACCAGGCUGCGGCGCGAAGAGCUUCUACCGGCAAGGCGGCACCCUCCGGCCGGCGAUGCCUCCAGGCGCGGUCGCGGAGGCCGUCGAUGUCCGGCUCGCCGUAGGCGGCGUGCCGUCGUUCUGUAAUCGGUGGCGACGGCUGGGUGAAUCCCUAGCCGCACAGGAGAAUUGGAGAUUCUUAUCCUCUUCGCUAUUGUUUGAUUAAGUCCUCAGACUUUAUCUUGACUACGUAUAUGUCCCUGUAAAUUAUGAUACGGCCUCCAGGCUUACUAUUUUCAGGAUUUUAAACUUCA